GACGAACGCUGGCGGCGUGCUUAACACAUGCAAGUCGAACGGGAGUAUUGAAGAAGCUUGCUUUAGAGAUACUUUAGUGGCGGACGGGUGAGUAACACGUGGGCAACCUGCCUUGGAGUGGGGGAUAACACCGGGAAAUCGGUGCUAAUACCGCAUAACAUACACAUACUGCAUAGUGAGUGUAUCAAAGGAGCAAUCCGCUUUAAGAUGGGCCCGCGUCUGAUUAGCUAGUUGGUAAGGUAACGGCUUACCAAGGCGACGAUCAGUAGCCGACCUGAGAGGGUGACCGGCCACACUGGAACUGAGACACGGUCCAGACUCCUACGGGAGGCAGCAGUGGGGAAUAUUGCGCAAUGGGGGGAACCCUGACGCAGCAACGCCGCGUGGAGGAAGAAGGUCUUCGGAUUGUAAACUUCUUUGAUGAGGGACGAAUAAAGUGACGGUACCUCAAAAACAAGCCACGGCUAACUACGUGCCAGCAGCCGCGGUAAACAUACUCGUUA
rnacentral:rRNA from 1 species